GAGGGUUAACCCAAAGGGGAAACCCGCCGAUUCAAUAAAAAUUUGGCCCUAGAAACUACCGCCCGCCGCUUGAGUAACACUUGUUUACCUGCCCCUAAAACUGGGAUACCUCCGGGAAACCGGGGCUAAUACCGGAUAACAUUUUGAACCGCAUGGUUCGAAAUUGAAAGGCGGCUUCCGCUGUCACCUUUGGAUGGACCCGCGUCCCAUUAACUAGUUGGUGAGGUAACGGCUCACCAAGGCAACGAUGCGUAGCCGACCUGAAAGGGUGAUCGGCCACACUGGGACUGAAACACGGCCCAAACUCCUACGGGAGGCAGCAGUAGGGAAUCUUCCGCAAUGGACGAAAGUCUGACGGAGCAACGCCGCGUGAGUGAUGAAGGCUUUCGGGUCGUAAAACUCUGUUGUUAGGGAAAAACAAGUGCUAGUUGAAUAAGCUGGCCCCUUGACGGUACCUAACCAAAAAGCCACGGCUAACUACGUGCCAACAGCCGCGGUAAUACGUAGGUGGGAAGCGUUAUCCGGAAUUAUUGGGCGUAAAGCGCGCGCAGGUGGUUUCUUAAUUCUGAUGUGAAAGCCCACGGCUCAACCGUGGAGGGUUCUUGGAAACUGGGAGACUUUGAGUGCAAAGAGGAAAGUGGAAUUCCCUGUGUACGGUGAAUUGCGUAAAGAUAUGGAAGGAACCCCGUGGCGAAGGCGACUUUCUGGUCUGUAACUGACACUGGGGGGGCGAAAGCGUGGGGGAGCAAACAGGAUUAAAUACCCUGGGUACUCCCUCCCCUUAAACGAUGAAUGCUU
rnacentral:rRNA from 1 species